AUGGAAAAACAUGAGAGCCUGGAGCGUGACUCGAAGACUCGAGAAUCUGAGCUUGCAUCGGCUCUUGAGAGUGCCAAAGCCGCUAAGGCCGAAGCCUACAAGGCCCUCCAAGAAAUCGAGGCGUUGAAGAAAAUAGCAGUGGGCAAGGCAUUUUUCAUGCAAAGUAAGCAUGUGAGUGUUAAUUACCUGUUACUUACCCGAAUUCGGAGCUCUCCAGGAGCGUUCGCAGAUCUUCCUUGCAGCAUGUCUAAUGCUGCCGCGUUCUACCGGGCCGAGGAGGGGAGCUCGACGGAGAAGGUCUUCUGGUAUCAGUAUGCUGAGGCCGGACAUCCGGUGCCCCUUAGCGACCAGCUGAAGCAGCUGGUUGAGCUCCACAAGGUGGCCAAACAGGCCAUGAAGGGCCUCAUAGUUCGGCUGUGGCCGAAGGAGGCCAUGCCUGGGAGCUACUUCGGCCUGGUGCGGCGGCUGGUGGAUGCGUGUCCAUGGGUUGAAGUCAUCAAGCAGUCCGCCUGUAUUGAAGGUGCCCGUCGGGCCCUUGCCCGCGCAAAGGUGCACUAG
rnacentral:rRNA from 1 species